rnacentral:rRNA from 1 species
GAUGAACGCUAGCUACAGGCUUAACACAUGCAAGUCGAGGGGCAGCGGGUUGAAAGCUUGCUUUCAAUGCCGGCGACCGGCGCACGGGUGCGUAACGCGUAUCAAACCUGCCUCAUACUCGGGGAUAGCCUUGCGAAAGUAAGAUUAAUACCCGAUGUUGUUGCUUUCUCGCAUGGGAGAGUAACCAAAGAUUUAUCGGUAUGAGAUGGUGAUGCGUCCGAUUAGGUAGUAGGCGGGGUAACGGCCCACCUAGCCUUCGAUCGGUAGGGGUUCUGAGAGGAAGGUCCCCCACACUGGAACUGAGACACGGUCCAGACUCCUACGGGAGGCAGCAGUGAGGAAUAUUGGUCAAUGGGCGAGAGCCUGAACCAGCCAAGUAGCGUGCAGGAUGACGGCCCUCCGGGUUGUAAACUGCUUUUAGUUGGGAAUAAAAAAAGGGACUUGUCCCUUCUUGUAUGUACCUUCAGAAAAAGGACCGGCUAAUUCCGUGCCAGCAGCCGCGGUAAUACGGAAGGUCCAGGCGUUAUCCGGAUUUAUUGGGUUUAAAGGGAGCGUAGGCGGAUUGUUAAGUCAGCGGUUAAAGGGUGUGGCUCAACCAUGCAUUGCCGUUGAAACUGGCGAUCUUGAGUGCAGACAGGGAUGGCGGAAUUCGUGGUGUAGCGGUGAAAUGCUUAGAUAUCACGAAGAACUCCGAUCGCGAAGGCAGGUGUCCGGGCUGCAACUGACGCUGAGGCUCGAAAGUGUGGGUAUCAAACAGG